rfam:Arthrobacter gangotriensis Lz1y contig000004, whole genome shotgun sequence.
GCCCCCCUAGCUCAGUGGUAGAGCGCGUUCUUGGUAAGAACGAGGUCAUCGGAUCGAUUCCGAUGGGGGGCU